AUUUAGCUGACGACUCCAAAAUAGGACGGAACGAGCGUCCUGGAU
rnacentral:hammerhead_ribozyme from 1 species